UACGGAGGAUCCGAGCGUUAUCCGGAUUUAUUGGGUUUAAAGGGAGCGUAGAUGGGUUGUUAAGUCAGUUGUGAAAGUUUGCGGCUCAACCGUAAAAUUGCAGUUGAUACUGGAUGUCUUGAGUGCAGUUGAGGCAGGCGGAAUUCGUGGUGUAGCGGUGAAAUGCUUAGAUAUCACGAAGAACUCCGAUUGCGAAGGCAGCCUGCUAAGCUGCAACUGACAUUGAGGCUCGAAAGCGCGGGGAUCGAACAGG
rnacentral:rRNA from 1 species